GACCGCGUAGCUCAGUUGGUACAGCAUUUGGCUAGUAUUCCAAAGGUCGUAGGUUCGAUUCCCACCGUGGUCA
rnacentral:tRNA from 1 species